rnacentral:rRNA from 1 species
GGUUAAGUUAGAAAGGGCGCACGGUGGAUGCCUUGACACUAGGAGUCGAUGAAGGACGGGACUAACGCCGAUAUGCUUCGGGGAGCUGUAAGUAAGCUUUGAUCCGAAGAUUUCCGAAUGGGGAAACCCACCAUACGUAAUGGUAUGGUAUCCUUAUCUGAAUACAUAGGGUAAGGAAGACAGACCCAGGGAACUGAAACAUCUAAGUACCUGGAGGAAGAGAAAGCAAAUGCGAUUUCCUGAGUAGCGGCGAGCGAAACGGAACAUAGCCCAAACCAAGAGGCUUGCCUCUUGGGGUUGUAGGACAUUCUAUACGGAGUUACAAAGGAACGAGGUAGACGAAGCGACCUGGAAAGGUCCGUCGUAGAGGGUAACAACCCCGUAGUCGAAACUUCGUUCUCUCUUGAAUGUAUCCUGAGUACGGCGGAACACGUGAAAUUCCGUCGGAAUCUGGGAGGACCAUCUCCCAAGGCUAAAUACUCCCUAGUGAUCGAUAGUGAACCAGUACCGUGAGGGAAAGGUGAAAAGCACCCCGGAAGGGGAGUGAAAGAGAUCCUGAAACCGUGUGCCUACAAAUAGUCAGAGCCCGUUAACGGGUGAUGGCGUGCCUUUUGUAGAAUGAACCGGCGAGUUACGAUCCCGUGCGAGGUUAAGCUGAAGAGGCGGAGCCGCAGCGAAAGCGAGUCUGAAUAGGGCGUUUAGUACGUGGUCGUAGACCCGAAACCAGGUGAUCUACCCAUGUCCAGGGUGAAGUUCAGGUAACACUGAAUGGAGGCCCGAACCCACGCACGUUGAAAAGUGCGGGGAUGAGGUGUGGGUAGCGGAGAAAUUCCAAUCGAACCUGGAGAUAGCUGGUUCUCCCCGAAAUAGCUUUAGGGCUAGCCUUAAGUGUAAGAGUCUUGGAGGUAGAGCACUGAUUGGACUAGGGGUCCUCAUCGGAUUACCGAAUUCAGUCAAACUCCGAAUGCCAAUGACUUAUCCUUAGGAGUCAGACUGCGAGUGAUAAGAUCCGUAGUCAAAAGGGAAACAGCCCAGACCGCCAGCUAAGGUCCCAAAGUGUGUAUUAAGUGGAAAAGGAUGUGGAGUUGCUUAGACAACUAGGAUGUUGGCUUAGAAGCAGCCACCAUUUAAAGAGUGCGUAAUAGCUCACUAGUCGAGUGACUCUGCGCCGAAAAUGUACCGGGGCUAAAUACACCACCGAAGCUGCGGAUUGAUACCAAUGGUAUCAGUGGUAGGGGAGCGUUCUAAGGACAGUGAAGUCAGACCGUAAGGACUGGUGGAGUGCUUAGAAGUGAGAAUGCCGGUAUGAGUAGCGAAAGACGGGUGAGAAUCCCGUCCACCGAAUGCCUAAGGUUUCCUGAGGAAGGCUCGUCCGCUCAGGGUUAGUCAGGACCUAAGCCGAGGCCGACAGGCGUAGGCGAUGGACAACAGGUUGAUAUUCCUGUACCACCUCUUUAUCGUUUGAGCAAUGGAGGGACGCAGAAGGAUAGAAGAAGCGUGCGAUUGGUUGUGCACGUCCAAGCAGUUAGGCUGAUAAGUAGGCAAAUCCGCUUAUCGUAAAGGCUGAGCUGUGAUGGGGAAGCUCCUUAUGGAGCGAAGUCUUUGAUUCCCCGCUGCCAAGAAAAGCUUCUAGCGAGAUAAAAGGUGCCUGUACCGCAAACCGACACAGGUAGGCGAGGAGAGAAUCCUAAGGUGUGCGAGAGAACUCUGGUUAAGGAACUCGGCAAAAUGACCCCGUAACUUCGGGAGAAGGGGUGCUUUCUUAACGGAAAGCCGCAGUGAAUAGGCCCAAGCGACUGUUUAGCAAAAACACAGCUCUCUGCGAAGCCGUAAGGCGAAGUAUAGGGGGUGACACCUGCCCGGUGCUGGAAGGUUAAGGAGAGGGGUUAGCGUAAGCGAAGCUCUGAACUGAAGCCCCAGUAAACGGCGGCCGUAACUAUAACGGUCCUAAGGUAGCGAAAUUCCUUGUCGGGUAAGUUCCGACCCGCACGAAAGGUGUAACGAUUUGGGCACUGUCUCAACCAGAGACUCGGUGAAAUUAUAGUACCUGUGAAGAUGCAGGUUACCCGCGACAGGACGGAAAGACCCCGUGGAGCUUUACUGUAGCCUGAUAUUGAAUUUUGGUACAGUUUGUACAGGAUAGGCGGGAGCCAUUGAAACCGGAGCGCUAGCUUCGGUGGAGGCGCUGGUGGGAUACCGCCCUGACUGUAUUGAAAUUCUAACCUACGGGUCUUAUCGACCCGGGAGACAGUGUCAGGUGGGCAGUUUGACUGGGGCGGUCGCCUCCUAAACUGUAACGGAGGCGCCCAAAGGUUCCCUCAGAAUGGUUGGAAAUCAUUCGUAGAGUGCAAAGGCAUAAGGGAGCUUGACUGCGAGACCUACAAGUCGAGCAGGGACGAAAGUCGGGCUUAGUGAUCCGGUGGUUCCGCAUGGAAGGGCCAUCGCUCAACGGAUAAAAGCUACCCCGGGGAUAACAGGCUUAUCUCCCCCAAGAGUCCACAUCGACGGGGAGGUUUGGCACCUCGAUGUCGGCUCAUCGCAUCCUGGGGCUGUAGUCGGUCCCAAGGGUUGGGCUGUUCGCCCAUUAAAGCGGUACGCGAGCUGGGUUCAGAACGUCGUGAGACAGUUCGGUCCCUAUCCGUCGUGGGCGUAGGAAAUUUGAGAGGAGCUGUCCUUAGUACGAGAGGACCGGGAUGGACGCACCGCUGGUGUACCAGUUGUUCUGCCAAGGGCAUAGCUGGGUAGCUAUGUGCGGAAGGGAUAAGUGCUGAAAGCAUCUAAG